rnacentral:rRNA from 1 species
UACGUAGGGGGCAAGCGUUGUCCGGAUUUAUUGGGCGUAAAGAGCGUGUAGGCGGCUAGGCAGGUCUGGUGUGAAAACUCGAGGCUUAACCUCGAGAUGUCAUCGGAAACCAUCUGGCUAGAGUCCGGAAGGGGAGAGUGGAAUUCCUGGUGUAGCGGUGAAAUGCGCAGAUAUCAGGAAGAACACCAAUGGCGAAAGCAGCUCUCUGGGACGGUACUGACGCUGAGACGCGAAAGCGUGGGGAGCGAACAGG